rnacentral:rRNA from 1 species
AAAUUUAACAGCCGCAGUACCCUGACUGUGCUAAGGUAGCAUAAUGAUUUGUCUCAUAAUUGGAGAAUGGAAUGAAUGGUUUGACUAAGGUAUUACUGUCUCUUGUAUAAUUACUAAAAGUUAACUUUUAAGUUAAAAGGCUUAAAUUAAAUUAAAAGACGAGAAGACCCUAUUGAGCUUUAUAACGCUUGUGUUAAUUAGAUUCUAUAUAAUAAAUAAUUUUUUGAUGGGAAACUUUUAGUUGGGGCGACUUGAGAAUAGGAAAAACUUCUCUUAGUAAAUAAUAAGAAAUACCUAAUGAUCCAAAUGAUUUUGAAUUAAAAGCAAGUUACCAUAGGGAUAACAGCGUUAUUUUUUUUGAGAGUUCUAAUCGAAAAAAAAGUUUGCGACCUCGAUGUUGGAUUAAGAAAUAAUAAAGGUUGCA